CACAGUUCAUCCAGAGAUAAGCCAAGGCUGGCGGGCUUCCUAGGCUCUGCAUUUCCACACAAGACAACAGGAAGGAAUGGGCUGUACUGGUCGCAGAGAGCAGUGACCUCACUUCCCACUUCCAUGGUGGUGAGGGUGAGCUGCACACCAAUGAGCUGGGAGAGGAGGACUUCACUUUUCCAGGAGCAGGUUGAAGGAUCCAAAGACCUUGUGGUUGCUCUCCAAUUGAGCAGAAAAUUACUCCAAAAAUGAAGACAGACUUUAACACCUCAUUCAUUCAGACUAAUGAAAAGGAGGCCAAUCCUCAGAAGCUGGAAUUCUCUGUACAGAGUUCCUUGAGAAAGGUACGUGGAUUUUUCUCAGACUGAACUCAGUUUGCCCCAGGUGUCAGAGGCCCUGGAGGGGAGGAAGGACCUGGGGAAGGAAGAGAUGUGUUAAUGGUGAAUACUUGGAACUGAUUGGGGAAAAGAGGUUUUCAAUCACUUAGGUUGUUUUCAAUAACUUGGUAAUUCUUUUCCCUUAGAAAGUGGAAAAUGUCCAAAUCCCUGACUUAUGAGCUGUUCCUGUAAUGAGAUUUGAUUACAUUUUUCAGUAAGGCAUACAGAGGACAAGAUAGAAAGUCAGGCCAAGAUGGGUGCUUGCAAGGAGUGGGAGGAAGGGUACCACGGCCUCUCAUGGUCAUCCCAAGGUGCACCCACACCUUCCCUGUGGUGUGACUGUGAGCUCCUCAGUCCUGUCCCCCUGUGCCUCCAGCCUAGACUUGGAUGGCCCUACUAACUUUAGUUACUAUUACUUUCACGAGGAAAUUGAAGUGUGACCUAUUUCUUUUCCCUAAAUCUUUCAAAGGUAUCACAUACUUCUAAGUUAGACUCUAUAAGUAUUUAUUAAGCUCCUACUGUGUGCUGACAACAUUCUCGAGUCCCAAGGAUGUUGGCAUGAAGAUCAUGUGGGUGACUGUCGGUUUAUUGGGAAAUGAGCAACAGUGGACUCCCCUAGGAAGGUGGGGGAAGGAGAAAGGAGCCAGGGGGAAUGAAGUCUGGAGGUCUUAGGAAGGGCAGCCAGGCUGGACAAUCCCCAGCUGGGUUUUGAAGGGAACCAGGAGGAAGAGCAUCCAGGGGCUCAUGGGGAGGAUCCAGAGCAGGCAAGAGUGAGUGCUCUGGGUGAUGCUCUGGGUGCUCCUCAGCUCAGCCCUUGAGAAUGUUCCAGGUGGAGGAGGGCGUUCUGGAUCCCCCUGUACCAGCUGGGGUGAGAAGCAGGAAGUAAGACCGCAGGAGUCUUCCCCAGAGAGAGCUGUUUGACUUACCUCUGUCCUUGGUGAAGCGAUGGUUUGCUUCUCUUUGGGCAUGUCACCCCAUUAUAAACCCCGAACAUUAUUACUGAUCUUCACUGAAGCCACCCAUGGGACUUCUGGUCCCAGCACCCUGAGACACUUGCUGGUCACCGAGCAUCUCCUGUGGGUGAGGGAACGGGGACGUCUGCUUGUGACAAGGCAGUGGGUCCAGUGCCUUCUGAGAGAGGCAGGGGCAUUCACUUAGUGAGAGCUGCCUCUUGCCUUCUGAGCCAGGAGGCAGGACACACAGCUGCACAUCCCUGCUCUGCCCCACCCCCAGGAAUGAGGGUGUCUUUUCAGGCAUCUCCAGGAUGCCAAGGUAAUAAAGGCAACUGCAUUUAAUCAUUUUCCUAAUUAAUGUAUUUAUUACAGCUCCUCGAGGCUUUUCAGGAUGAGCACAAUGAGCGAGAAGGAAGCUGAGUGGCAGGGAGCCCCACUUUCCCCUAAAGGUUAAUUGGCCUGGCCGCUGCUGGCAGACGGGGAGAGCAUCCUGGUGAAGCAAAGGCCAGGCGGUGGUGAAGGUGCCUGGCUCCCAGCCUGGGGCAAGGUCGCCCGAGUGCGGGCUGCAGCUUUUGAGAGCACGUUACCAUGGAGGCUGAUUAAAUUCAGCACAGAGCACGUGGUGCUCAGAAGCUUCUAGAGAAUGAGAACAGAGAGAAAGCAGUGAUGAACAGGAUAGAAACUGAAAAGGUGCCUCUCGUUGGAGCGUGAAUGAAAACAGACAAAUUCUGUUCACUGAUGGAUCCCCAUUCAUCUCCUCCCUCUGUGGCUGCGCUGGGCAGGGAGCGCUCUUCAGCUGUGGGCACCCAUGACUGCAGGUGAUGUCUUCUGAACAUGCCUGUGGAGCUAGUUUCCACAUGCUUGGUACACAGGGCUGCAGAAGGUCCAUCUUGGGUUUCAGGGGCUGCAAUUCCCCUGCUUCACAGGACACGGGCCUGCACGGAGCACCUGUGCUGGAGUCAGGUGGACAUCCACUCUGAAUGAGCCGCCUGAGUUUACCCUGGUGAAUGGCAGGAUUUGUACAAGCAAAACAACAGUAUUCACCCCAACCCCACCAGUCCACAAAAUCAAAAACAGGAUGGAGCACAAUUUGAAAAGUGCACGUCAGCAGUCUUUAAACAGAUUCUCAGGCUCUGCAAUUGUGGGUACGGAAUGUCACCCUGGAGAAAUAACUACCAACAUGAACACACAUUUGAAUAAGCAUUCUGUAUUUUUGAACAUAAAGAUGUUCAUCAUUCUGUUUUAGUAAAAAAUUGGACACAACCUCACACACGUCGUCGGUGUAACUUGGGCAGGUAGCCACGCUGUGCCUCGGUUUCCCACCUGCAACUUCAUGGUUGCUUUGAGCUUUGAAUGAGUUGGUGCCUGUGACCUGUGACACCGGUGCUGACCCCCACCUCCAUGCCUUCCUCACUUCUGCGUGAUCAUUGCUGCUGUUGUACUGGGUUAUAGACAGGGUGGCCUUGGGAUAGAGAUAGCACUGAUGUGACCAGACAGGAACUGAUGCCGAGCAGCGCUGACGGAGAGAUGCUCACAGUAAAUGGGUAAAGGGCACUGCUGGGCGAGUACCACUGGUUCUAGUUUAGACAAAGGUGUGCACAUGGGCAUGUGGCACAUACUUAACUAUGCAUAUAUGUACCUAAUGUAAGCAUUAGGAGACUAAACAGAAUGUUAGCAUGGUUGUCUUUGGUUGUGGAAAUAAAUGCGAUUUAAAAUUAGUCCUGGGGCUGGGGAUAUGACUCAAGCGGUAAAGCGCUCGCCUAGCAUGCGCGGGGCGCUAGGUUCGAUCCUCAGCACCACAUAAAAAUAAAAUAAAGAUGUUGUGUAAAUAAAUAAAAUAAAAUGU
rnacentral:lncRNA from 1 species